GACGAACGCUGGCGGCGUGCCUAAUACAUGCAAGUAGAACGCUGAAGGGAGGAGCUUGCUCUUCUUGGAUGAGUUGCGAACGGGUGAGUAACGCGUAGGUAACCUGCCUUGUAGCGGGGGAUAACUAUUGGAAACGAUAGCUAAUACCGCAUAACAAUGGACGACCCAUGUCAUUUAUUUGAAAGGGGCAAAUGCUCCACUACAAGAUGGACCUGCGUUGUAUUAGCUAGUAGGUGAGGUAACGGCUCACCUAGGCGACGAUACAUAGCCGACCUGAGAGGGUGAUCGGCCACACUGGGACUGAGACACGGCCCAGACUCCUACGGGAGGCAGCAGUAGGGAAUCUUCGGCAAUGGGGGCAACCCUGACCGAGCAACGCCGCGUGAGUGAAGAAGGUUUUCGGAUCGUAAAGCUCUGUUGUAAGUCAAGAACGAGUGUGAGAGUGGAAAGUUCACACUGUGACGGUAGCUUACCAGAAAGGGACGGCUAACUACGUGCCAGCAGCCGCGGUAAUACGUAGGUCCCGAGCGUUGUCCGGAUUUAUUGGGCGUAAAGCGAGCGCAGGCGGUUUGAUAAGUCUGAAGUUAAAGGCUGUGGCUCAACCAUAGUUCGCUUUGGAAACUGUCAAACUUGAGUGCAGAAGGGGAGAGUGGAAUUCCAUGUGUAGCGGUGAAAUGCGUAGAUAUAUGGAGGAACACCGGUGGCGAAGGCGGCUCUCUGGUCUGUAACUGACGCUGAGGCUCGAAAGCGUGGGGAGCGAACAGGAUUAGGUACCCUGGUAGUCCACGCCAUAAACGAUGAGUGCUAGGUGUUGGAUCCUUUCCGGGAUUCAGUGCCGCAGCUAACGCAUUAAGCACUCCGCCUGGGGAGUACGACCGCAAGGUUGAAACUCAAAGGAAUUGACGGGGGCCCGCACAAGCGGUGGAGCAUGUGGUUUAAUUCGAAGCAACGCGAAGAACCUUACCAGGUCUUGACAUCCCGAUGCUAUUUCUAGAGAUAGGAAGUUACUUCGGUACAUCGGUGACAGGUGGUGCAUGGUUGUCGUCAGCUCGUGUCGUGAGAUGUUGGGUUAAGUCCCGCAACGAGCGCAACCCCUAUUGUUAGUUGCCAUCAUUCAGUUGGGCACUCUAGCAAGACUGCCGGUAAUAAACCGGAGGAAGGUGGGGAUGACGUCAAAUCAUCAUGCCCCUUAUGACCUGGGCUACACACGUGCUACAAUGGUUGGUACAACGAGUUGCGAGUCGGUGACGGCGAGCUAAUCUCUUAAAGCCAAUCUCAGUUCGGAUUGUAGGCUGCAACUCGCCUACAUGAAGUCGGAAUCGCUAGUAAUCGCGGAUCAGCACGCAGCGGUGAAUACGUUCCCGGGCCU
rnacentral:rRNA from 1 species